GUUGUCAGAACCCACUGAGUGCUUCAUAGGUUAGUCCAUAAAGUUACUUUAAACCGCCUCUUGUAGUAGACUCUAUCAUAAAGGAUAUCGUCCUUUAACAUUUCCUUUGGUGAUGUAAUUGAGUACCAUGAGUGCAAAUAAAAUACAGUGUAUGUCAACACUAUAAUUAUGUACACCUUUCUCUCUCCAGCUCUUCCCAGUCCGCCAUCUUUAUUGACAGUAACUCAUUCCAGUGGCUACCACACUCUCAGCUUCUCUAUCAGGAAAGGCUCAAGCCCCAUAACACAUUUCAUUACUAUACUCAAUCUGCUGUCCUCACCUCACCUGGACAACUUGUUAUCGCUAGCUAUGACUCGAACUCUGUUAUCUCUAUGGAGGGGAAUGGUACCAUGGCCAGUGGUGUUGAUACUGAAUACAGUGUUGUGUUGAAGCUAGCUGGACUAGAGAAGAGUGCGGAGGUUAGAGUGGCUGGGAGGAGUGAGCUGGGAGAUGGACCAUUUAGCGAAGUGGGGAUAAUUGAGAACAAAGGUUCUGCGAAAUGGAGACCCCUUCAUCAUCUUGUCAGUGGAAGUGCCAGACGGGGAGCUAACUAUAACAAACCUUAAUCCUGAUACGGAGUACACAGUCAGGCACUGCUCAUCAAUUAUCGGACAACCACCAUACAUGCGACUUUGGCUACUUCUUUAUCAGAGCAUAAUUAUCAUCUCUGUGAUCAUUGCCGCAGUGGUGGGAGGAAUGCUGCUUGUUGGCAGUGAUCAUAGCAGUUUGUAGGAAGAAGGAAGGAAAAUUGCUAUCACUGCUCGUGGAAUACGACCAUCUUCACUUAACUUGGCCAUGGAAAGCAGCAUGGAUUAGUAGACGCAUUGACUCAUUUCUACAGUUCUAACCUGCUUCGUAGAGCCGGCUUGUUCGUACGCUCUCCCCCACUAAUCCCCUUGAUGACGAGAGAAGGCAUCUCUUCUCCCCUCUACUCCAACUCUCUCUCUUCCUCCAUAACAAAACUGAAUUACACUCAAAACAGUGUCAGUGGCUCUAAUCUCGACACAGUCGUGGACAUGCAUAAUGAUAACUUAACUAUCAAGAUUAGUGACUUUCACUCGAGUAGCAAGUCCAUUCCCCACAACUACAGUCCCCCUGGUGGGAACAAUAGACAGCACCUGUGUCUACAGACCAGCUUGAGUGGUGACCGUAACGAUGUCCGGUCUGUCGUGUCUGCAUGAGAAUCAUCUAUUGACCUAACAACUCAAAUGAGAGCACCCUAUCAAAGAGUACGCCAAUGGUGAGUUUCUAAAGUUUCCAUUUUGUGAAAAAGAAUUUAUUUGUGUGGUCUUACUAUAUAACAGAUGAACAGAUUAGUGUGUUGGAUACAACGCCUACAAUUAAGCUACAUGUAUACAUG